rnacentral:rRNA from 1 species
UAUAAUUGUCAGCUAAGUGGCGCACGGGUGAGUAAUGUAUAGAUAACCUGCCCUUAAGAAAGGAAUAACAGUUGGAAACGACUGCUAAUGCCCUAUAUGCCUUUAAUACAUAAGUAUGCAAGGGAAACGCUUUAGUGCUUAAGGAUGGGUCUGUAUGGUAUCAGCUUGUUGGUGAGGUAAUGGCUCACCAAGGCUAUGACGCCUAACUGGUUUGAGAGGAUGAUCAGUCACACUGGAACUGAGACACGGUCCAGACUCCUACGGGAGGCAGCAGUGGGGAAUAUUGCACAAUGGACGAAAGUCUGAUGCAGCAACGCCGCGUGGAGGAUGACACAUUUCGGUGCGUAAACUCCUUUUAUAUAGGAAGAUAAUGACGGUACUAUAUGAAUAAACACCGGCUAACUCCGUGCCAGCAGCCGCGGUAAUACGGAGGGUGCAAGCGUUACUCGGAAUCACUGGGCGUAAAGAGCGUGUAGGCGGGUAUAUAAGUCAGAAGUGAAAUCCAAUAGCUCAACUAUUGAACUGCUUUUGAAACUGUAUACCUAGAAUGUGGGAGAGGUAGAUGGAAUUUCUGGUGUAGGGGUAAAAUCCGUAGAGAUCAGAAGGAAUACCGAUUGCGAAGGCGAUCUACUGGAACAUUAUUGACGCUGAGACGCGAAAGCGUGGGGAGCAAACAGGAUUAGAUACCCUGGUAGUCCACGCCCUAAACGAUGUACACUAGUUGUUGUGAGGCUCGACCUUGCAGUAAUGCAGUUAACACAUUAAGUGUACCGCCUGGGGAGUACGGUCGCAAGAUUAAA